rnacentral:rRNA from 1 species
GAUGAACGCUGGCGGCGUGCCUAAUACAUGCAAGUCGAGCGAACAGAUAAGGAGCUUGCUCCUUUGACGUUAGCGGCGGACGGGAGAGUAACACGUGGAUAACCUACCUAUAAGACUGGGAUAACUUCGGGAAACCGGAGCUAAUACCGGAUAACAUAUUGAACCGCAUGGUUCAAUAGUGAAAGGCGGCUUUGCUGUCACUUAUAGAUGGAUCCGCGCCGUAUUAGCUAGUUGGUAAGGUAACGGCUUACCAAGGCAACGAUACGUAGCCGACCUGAGAGGGUGAACGGCCACACUGGAACUGAGACACGGUCCAGACUCCUACGGGAGGCAGCAGUAGGGAAUCUUCCGCAAUGGGCGAAAGCCUGACGGAGCAACGCCGCGUGAGUGAUGAAGGUCUUCGGAUCGUAAAACUCUGUUAUCAGGGAAGAACAAAUGUGUAAGUAACUGUGCACAUCUUGACGGUACCUGAUCAGAAAGCCACGGCUAACUACGUG